CACGUAGGGCGCAAGCGUUGUCCGGAAUUAUUGGGCGUAAAGAGCUCGUAGGCGGUCUGUUGCGUCCGCUGUGAAAACUCGGGGCUUAACCCCGAGCCUGCAGUGGAUACGGGCAGACUAGAGGUAGGUAGGGGAGAAUGGAAUUCCCGGUGUAGCGGUGAAAUGCGCAGAUAUCGGGAGGAACACCGGUGGCGAAGGCGGUUCUCUGGGCCUUACCUGACGCUGAGGUGCGAAAGCGUGGGGAGCGAACAGG
rnacentral:rRNA from 1 species